CAGAGAUUUCUAGCCCGUACUUCAGUGUUUUCCAUUUUAAUCUCAGAGCAGAGAUAACUCUAGAUGUCUUAAAGCUUGCCUGGUCUCUACAAACCUUAUUAGAGAUCAAAAGAAAGAAGACAUGACUUCAUGCAGUCCUGGGCUACGUGUCGCACUGAAAAUACUCCGGAGCAUUCUGGGCAAGGAACAUACGGAGGCAUAUUAAGAUAGAACAGAUUACUUUUGAGGCAAAAAUAAUGAGUCAAAUGAGAGAAAGAUCUGCAGCUCUCUUUUGUAUAUAGUUGCUGUACAUAUACCAACAUGGAAGAAGCCUUCCACAGACUUCUGUCAUCACUCUGUGUGAAAAAGCUCUUUUAAAGGAACAGCUACCAAUAGGCAAGUGAGCCAGAAUACUUUUGUGCAGGAAUGUGCGUUUCUCACAUAGCUCAGGCUACCAAAAGGAAUACAAAUAUUUGCAGGAGUAGAAAAAGAUGCAGAAAGGACAGCGAAUCCUCUCACUGCUGAAACACCCUAAGUAGGAAGCAGUGGAGACUCCAAGGAGAAGAAGAGUCUGGAGAAAUCAGCAACUUAAGAGUAACAGUGAAUGAGAAGAAGAGACUGGGAGAGGGAAGAAAAAGGCCUCUGGAUUUCCACCAGAAUUAAACUGGAGAAAUGGGAGCAGGAGGGGCACAGGAGAAGCAGGUUAAAGAGAUUUUGCUCCUAUCUUCGUCAGCAAAGAGGGAGUAGGAAACAAGACCCAGACAGCAUUUCUCUCAAGUCUGCUGCUCUAGGCAACUGUUUACUUUGCUUUUGCCCAAGAUAGCGUGAGACGUUAUAAAAUGAGUUUCCACAAUGCUCUGAGUCACCAGAAUAUGGAUGAGAUCUGUGGAUUCAAGCCACCUUUCAAGAUUAUGAAUCUCUUCUGAAUAUCCAUUAUGCCAAUGAUACAUAACAAAAUCACUGCUGUAAUGUGAUGCACAUGUCAACUUUAAGGAUACAGUCCCUGCUCAGAUGGCAUCAGCAUAGGGAAACGUCAGCAUGGUGGAUUACCAGAGCAAAUGCUUUAACAUGCAAUGUGAUGCAAUGUGUUUUAACAACAAUUGUUCCCUUAUGUUUGUUUGUGUCAGGUUUGACGUGACUAUCCGCCAGGACAAUGCUCAGGAUUCUGUGUGUUGCAUUGCAGAAACUGAUUAUGUGAUCAAAUGCUUAAAGCACAUAAAAUCACGCCCAAGAUUCGAUGAGAUAUAUAUGCCAGAAAAUUCAGUAGGUGCUUAAAGUAAUUGACGCUAACAGCUAGACCUGGGUUUUUCAAAGGAAUAAGCGUUUUUGUUUGUUUGUUUUUCCUAAUGCAAUAUAAUAUAAACUGCCUAGAAAUUCAGCCUUAGCAUAAUGUUCAGAUCAAAUGAAAUUCACCCGUUAAGAAAGAACAUACACAGGGUCCUCCCUGAAGUGGAAAAGACAGCCUCUGAGUAGAACAGAUACCCUGGGAGACUUCUUACCCUGUGCACAUGCCCAAAAAGACAGCUCUGAAUCUAACUGCAUUGUAGAUCUAACGCUUGUAGGAUUUGGAGGCUCAACACUGAGCUGUAGCUCUCAGCAGCCCUUUUUCCCCAGUCCGUGAAACUCAGAAUCCAGUGGAGACAAAAACCUCUAUAGAAAUACUGUAUAUGUAAAUGGACUUAGAAGAAAAAGGGAGGGGUACCUGCUCUUAAAUUAGUCAUAUUUAAAAUGUAUUCUCAGAACACACUGAACUAUCAAACAGUCCCCAAAGUGAAGAAAUGUGAUUCUCAUUCAAGACUUAAGAGCAAAAGGCAAAACAACUGUGUCCCUUGCUCCAAAGUCAUUAUCUCACAUUAAGACUUCAUCCCGUUCUCCCAGUUCAGAAUUUAGUCUGGUUCUAAUGGCUCACUAGACAGUUUUGCAAGAUCUUCAUGCUCUCAUAGGUAUUUAGGCACUGAAAUCAGUGAGAAGUGGUACCUGUACACUUUCAGAAAUCUGUCUUUAAUUUCAACAUCCCAUAAAUUUUUUUAACAAAAACAUCCUUCAUCUUUUCUGCUUCACAAGUGAGUUGUGAAGCUUAAUUACACAAUGAUUAUGAAGUCCAGCAAAUACAACAUAUAUUAAGAGUACUUAAUGAGAUUUCUGUCACAAGCAGACUCUCUCUUGUAAAAUAUUACUCACACGUUGCAGGAAAAAAACUCAAGAGAAAAAAAUACAGAUGCAUUAAAUAUAAAACAAAUCUAGCUUGAUUACUUCCACAAGUAAUAUGUUAUACAACUCUAUAACAUCUGUCAGGACAGCAUAGAGAAUAGCAUAGGCUUUUCUGAUCAGAAUGGAAUCCUGUCAGCACGGAAUUCUGUCAGCACAUCCAUGUACUCAUUUUUACCUGCAGUGCCCAUCCAAGACAGGGCCUCCAGACCCACACACGAUCUGCUUCCCAUGAGAUCUAGUGGCUUAAAUACCUUCAAAGACCAGACAUGAAGUUCUGUUCCUUCAAAUCACAGAAUCAUGGAAUCAUAAAAUGGCUUGGGUUGGAAGGGACACCCAAGGAUCAUCAAGUUCCAAUCCCUCUGCUGCAGGCAGGGCCACCAACCUGUGGUGGUUGUAAAUAUUUCCCAAAAAGAUGCCAGCAUACUAACCAAUUACCACAUUUAACAGCACAGUGGAAGAUGGCUAGACAACUAUGAGCAGACAGACGAUCAUACAGAAGGCAUUGCUUGCAUACUUAGUGAUUUCUCAGGCCAUAACAAAGCAUACAGCCUAACUAGGGUAGGAGGACUCAAAAGAGGAAGACCAUUCCUUAAGAAUACAGAGCUGUUUGGCACAUUUCUGUGAACAAACAGUGUAGCUGUUAAAAUACAUUUCCUGUUAGCAAUUAUGGCUCAGAGCUCACAGACGCUUUUACAGAACUUGGACAGGAGUGAUUUUCAGUACAUAGUGUCUCUAACAGCAAGUUAUAUUAAUAUUCACCAAAGGAAAACCUGUUUGUUGACCCAAAGUGUGACUGCUUACAAUUCUCUUCUUGUGAAAUUAUUUAGGUCCUGUGGGACAACUGUACUGAGCUUUUGACGCAAAUAUUAAAAUUCUAUUUAAAUGUACAAUGUUUUAAUGCAAAUUUUUACCAUAAAACCAAAUGCUCCAUUCAGUUAAAUUAAUAGAAUUACAAAAAGAUGUAAUGAUAGCAAUUAAGUCUUGAAAAUGCAAAUUUUAUAGUCAAGGACAAUUACCUCAUUUAUAGUAUCCUGGAAUGAUGCCAGAUGAAGGUAAUUUAGAUCUCCCUAGCUCACAGUUAUAUCAUGAAGGAUAUCUUAAUUUCAUUAGUACAACAAAGAUGGGUGAGAACUUGGACAAUAUGAAAAAAAAAAGGGAGGGAGAGAUGGGAGAGAAAAUUUGACCUUUCUCAUUUCACCGCAACUAGAAUACAUAGAUCUUACUAAAGGAUUAGUAAUAUUUCUUUCUAUUCCUAUCUCUGGGGAAAAAAAGGGGGGGGGGGGGCACUUUUUCUUUUCUUUUUUUUUAUUAGCAGCAAUGGAACAUUAGUAUGAAAAAGGUCAACUCCCUUCAGAUUCUUAGAGCCACUAUGCCCACAUCACAACAGUUAUGGACCAUUCCUUAUUUCAGUUUUAAGGAUGAAUACAGCAUUGGCUCUUGGCUGACAGAGUAUCAAGCUAUGGCCUAGGGACACAUGGUUUUGACUCCAAUAUGAUUUAAAAUGUUCUUGAAAAAUUCUUCUUGCUCUUACAAAUACAGCCCCACUUCAUCCAAAGAGGCAAGUCAAAAAUCAUCAGUUUCUCAUUAGCAAGCAAAGAGUGAUCAAGUAGACAAAGAAUACAGAUUGAUAUGCCAUAGAUUCAGUAGUCUCCUUUGAAGGAAAAACAAAACCAAACUCUCAUACAAGUUCUUUAGCACAUUAUCAAGUUCAAAUAGGAGUUUGCAAUACUGCAGAUAUCCCUCUUCCUUUCCUUUCUCUUUGCUGUAGUAGCUACCCUUGACCCUUGAAGAGAUUUCAAAAAAAAAGCAUAUUAAAUAAGGUGCACCAUAAAGUUUAAUUUUAAAACUUUACAACUCUCAAUUUUUCUUCCUGGCCUGUUGUAGCCACUGCAAAGAAACUCAACUUCCAGAAAAAUAGCUGCAUCCACCUAAAAUCUUCUUACAUCAAAUUCCCUUACCAAACCUAACAUGUAGGCUCUGGAGAGAGCGGAAACCUCCAAGGACAGAGUAGCAAACUUCACCUCUCUCCUUAUCUUGAACACAACUAACAAAGAUAACAUGAAAAAGCCUUCCCAAGAGUAGAAAUAUCUGCUUACCGUCAGCAUUUGGUGGUUUUGCUGUAGAUGGUGCAUGCUGAAGCCAUCCCAACCUCCUGCUGACAAACCUUUCCUUAACACCCUGAGAUAGGCAGGUUCUAGAGGAUCGGCUUUAUAACUUCGAACAGCACCACAUAGCGACAGGAAUGCAGCAUUAGAAACCCCCAACACUCCUCAGAAAGGGUUUCUUCCAUCCAGUUAUUCUGUUUUAUGAAAAACAAGCCUUUUCUGAAGGAAAAAGUACCUUAAUUUUUCAUGUCAACGAUGCUAUCAGUCACCUCUGCCGCUUGAAAACAAUGGAUGACACUCUGGCUCAAGGAAAGCCACCUGCUUCCUUUGGGGUUAAGACGUCUUUUGGUGAAUUUCAUCUCCUAUCAAGCAAUAGCAAAAUUAGAGCUUGUACCACUAUUGCCUUCGUUCCGUGCUUUUGAUGCUUAUAAUCCCAUUACACCUGACAACUUAACCUGAGCUUGUUAUUCAUAGACAUGUAUGGUCUGAUGAAACAUUCCCAACUCCUGAAAAAUCUUUUUGUGUGCUGUUGGGAGAUUUGGCCUAAUAAGAAGUGCUUGAGUGGGUGUAGACUGGGUAUGUUUGUACCAUAUUAUACAAUAUGGCUUAAAUUUCCAUGGCAUUUUAUUGGAAAGUGUGAACCUGACAAGCUAAUAGUUUGUGAAUCUGUUGAGUCUCUGCUGUUGCAUGGAGAAAUGUUUUGUCUACGCUAUUCCCAGUAUGCUUCAAUUGUAAAAAAAACAGGCUGCGAUCAUAACACAUCUUCAUGUAAAUCAAAGUAAAUUUCUGCAGGACAAUAUUUACCACUGUUAUGUACCACAGAUCUCCCAAUUCCUCAUUUGACCUAACAGUCGGAAUGAUCUCAGGCCAGCAAUAAGCUGAAUACUGGUUGCUAAGUAAUAUUUAAUUUAAGCAUGAUGUUGUGGUCAACAAAAUGAAUUAGCAUUUUCUGCAUUAAUGAAGAUCCAGGCCUAAAAUCAAAUGAUGAUGUCAAAAAAUUAUGGAAAAUAUUAUUGAUCUAAUUCUUCCUUUUAUUACACUGACAGAGAAACAUGCUUCUUGGAAAUGUUACAUGUGAAGGAAGAAUUUUUCCUAUUGCAUCUUCUUUCAAGAGAUUCAGUUUUCUACUCAGGACUCCAAGAGAGUAAUUUACAUUUGUGAUCACCCAGCCAAUUCAAGGCAACUGUGGAAAGAAACACUAGUAAGAAUUCAUUUUGUUGAUCUUAUCAUAAAUGUGAGAGAGAUUUAACUUUAUCCUAAAUUCCACUAAAACCUAGAAUGCAAUAAAGAAAUAAUCAUACAUGAAUUUGAGUCAGUACUGUUCCUCAUCAUUAGGCCACCUGACAAGCUAGAAAGCAACUUCGCUAGUGCAUAUUCAUUCCAAAUUAAUACAGUAAUUCUGAAAACUGUUUCUUUUUUCCCCUACUUUUAUGCAUUUAUUGCUUUAUUUCUCUAUUGCUAUUUCCAGUCCAUAAUGCAAUGCAGCUUGUGGAAUGUAAUCCCCUUUCUUCUCCUGACCAAACUCCACUCUGAAUGCUGCAUGGAUGGGAUCCUUUCUUUUCUGUUUUUUUAAUGUUUUUCUUCUCACUUUACAUAUUCUCAAAAAUGAGAUGAAUUUCUGAUUAUUUUCCAUUUUCCCCACUUUAUGAAUAUUAGAGUGGUUUUCUUUUGCAAUGUGGCUUGGCCUGCAUUUCAAAGUCCACAUUUUGAGUGGUUCCCUGUGAUUUUUGGACACUUGGCAUUUUCUGGGUCCAACUCAGAGAACUGUUUGAUUUUCAAAUAUUCAGAGCAUUCUCAAAGCCUGUUAAGUACAGACAAUACUUUCAGUGUUCUUUAGGUCCUUUAGGCUUAUUUUUUCAUUAACCCAAAACUGAGGUAAAAAAAAUCCUGUGUUCUAUGAAUUCCACAGUGUUGUGCAGAGAAGGGCAGUGGGAAAACUGAGUUAAAUGCAGGAUUCAAGUUUUUCUGACUCUUGCACAACUUGUUGUCUAAUGGACCCCAUAGGCUCUCAGCAAUACCAGCUGUCUCUAAAAUUCAACCAACAGUGGAAAUGACUACCGCUGUUCUGUCCAUGGAAAGCAUGAAAAGGUUAUUUAAAAAAAAAAAAAAAGAGUGGCUUGCUUAGAUAUCACACAAAUGUAUUUGCUUUUUUUUUACUUAGUGAAAAGGCUGUAUUAUAAAAGUAAACUUUUCAAAACAGAAAAAGUAGGUAUCAAAUACAGGAAAGAAACAAAAAGACUAUAAAGUAAUCUUUACAAAAGCAGAUUGCACUGACACUGUCUUGCUCACAGUAACACACAAAGUAAUUUCAUAAAACCCAGCUUUUAUCUUGUUCUAAUAAAACAUCAAGCUAGCAACAUUAUGGUGAGGGCUUUCAUUUUCUUUUCGAUAUAGAUUCUGAUUGGAAGUAUUAGCUGAUGCAGCAGGAUAAAUAAAGAAAUGCCUAGAUUGUUAUGGUUCCCAAAGGUCAUUUUUAUGAAAAGAUCAGGAAAUAUGUUUCAUUGAAAUUAAAAGUAAAGCCAUAUCAAGUUUAAUAACAUUGUUACCAUAAUGACAUAAAAUUCAGUGAGAUGGUGUAAUGUUUAAUAUUUGACUGUCAAGCCUCUGCAGUGAAGCUGUGUGAAAGCAUUUAAACUUCUAAAACUGAAUUUCCUUUCAGUUUUAUUGCUGUUUUAUACCCAUCUCCUUUUUUUCCUUGCCGUAAUAUUCUGUGUUUCUUUGUUGAAUUUGAUGUUAUCAGUAAAAUACAAUAAAAACUCGUGGAGGGACACGUCUCUGUUCCAUAGAAGACUUAGCAAGGCUAGGCAUCCCCAGAUGACCAAAGGCUGUCUGUGCCAAAUCAUUUUUUCCAUCAAGUAAGAACCCCAGCAGUGUUGUAGGGCAUGGCAAGAGGGACGCUGUCAGGGCACAGCUACCCUCUGGGUUUUCUCAGUUGUGGCACUGUCAGAGGUGGAUUAAUAUGAGAAGCUGUAUCAGCCCUCAGCGAUUCUGGGAAAGGUCUGGCAUAAUGCCACUGUUCCCGGGUCUGCAUUCACAUAAACAAUUGUAAAGACGACUGAAGCCAGCAACUGCGAAGCCUGAGUGGUCUCUGGCUUUGUACAGCCUUUUGUUGGACACUGUGCUGAGUGCUAGGAUCAGAGAAUUGAAAAGUUUACAGCUUGGCACAGCUCUGCAAAAUUCUGAUUUUCAGAUAAAUAAACAAAACCCUGUCUCCAUCCAUGGGACCAAAAUUAUUCAAUACACUAAACAACAAGUAACAUUCUGGAAACAAAUUCUUUCUUUAAAAUGCAAGCUUGGUUUAGCACAUUUUCCCAGGAUGAAUUUCACCAGUUUAGCUUAAGAGUUGUUCAGUCUCAUCAGUGUAAAAAACAAGUAGCUGUGAACAUUCCUGAAACACUUACUUGGAGAUUCUCAUAAAGGAAAGAUCUGAGUGCCCGAACCACCAGAGUCCAUACAACCAUAGAACUGCUUGAGUUGGAAGGGACCCUUAAAGUCCAUCUUGUCCAACCCCCCUGCAAUGAACAGGGACACCUACAGCCACAUCAGGGUGCUCCCCUUUAGAUACUGAAAGGCUACUAUCAGGUCUUCCUGGAUAUUUCUCUUCUGCAGGCUGAACAGCCCUGGCUGUAAUACAGCUAAAUAUUCUGAUGGUUUUACCUCAUAGUUUUCCAUCAGCUUUGUUGCUGAUAGAGGAUGCAAAGAUUGAGGAUUUAAGCUUGCUGUAUUUGUUCUCUUUGUCUUUUUGCCAGACUGGCUGUGAUGAGCAGGUACUGGAUAUGCAGUUUGGUCUGUUGCAGCUGUUCUAGUACAUAAUCUGAUUCAAAAACAGGGAAUAUUUGGAGACUCUUAUUGGUAAAUACUGCUACUAUGGAUUUUAUAAGUACUGCAGAUGUGCCCUUGCCACCUUUGAUCUAGUAACAUGGUGCUUCUUACUAUGUGGACAAAUAGCUCUGAAUGUACAACUCAAAGAUUUGCCACUCUCCAUGAACAAGCUUCACUUUCUGCCAUUUGUGCCUGAGGUUAUUAUUUGAGCUGUGUGGAUCAUUCCUUACGAAAAUUAGAACUGUGAGCUAUUUAGCUGGACUUAUCUUUUCUAUAAAGGUGAAACUAAAUAGGUCUGACACAAAAUAGCUGUGGAAUGAGAGAUUCUGAUUCUCCUUGGAGCUUGUUUUAUACAAAGACCAUCUUAAAUUGCAUGUUUGCUAAUUCCUCUGUCUUAAAGACCUCAAGGAAGGCAGAAAGUAUGAUACAUCUACAUGAGUUGUACCCAGCUCUAGGCUGAUAGAGACUUUAGGCAGUAUUAAAACUGCCAUCGAUUCCAAAUCCCUAUCUUUGGGUCACAAUAAGACCAAUGAAGGUCUGCACAUGGGCCUUAACACACCUAUGUUGCUGCUAUCUUGUCUCGUGAAGCAUGACAUCCUUCUUAUAGAUUCACUGAAUCAACAUGUAAACUUCUCUAAUAAAAAUGGAAAUAAGAAUUUAUUUCUGCAUUUUAGUUUUUCUUUGCAUUUUCUGGAAGCAGUGCAAUAUAAUUCAGAUGCAGUGUGAGAAAGGCACUAUGAAAUCAUAAAUAAAGGACUCCAGUAUUCCUUUAUGAAAAAUCUUUUAACAUAAUAAAUUAAUAAUUAUUACUUCUACGGGGUUUUAUUUUGUUGUUGGUGGUGGUGUUUGGUGUUUUUUGUUGUUUGGUUCUUUUGAAGAAUCCUGUAAACCUUAACAGGAAAUUACAUGUCCAGUGCAAAAGUGUAUGAGAAGAGUCAAGAAAUCUAUGUCAUGGCUGUCAUUCUUCUUUCAAGACUAUUAACCUGAAAUCCUGGCUUCACUGCAUCUUAGCACUAAUUUCAGCAAAAAGUCAGACGUUCACUCCAUCAUGCUUUAGAAGCAACUGUCACUGUGUUAAAUUCUGCUCCUUCUUUCCCAUUCUCUUUUCCUGCUUGUCAGGUAAGUGUCUAUAAAUGUCAUGAGGCCAAAAUAAACUGGCGUGUGGAAAGACAGAUGUCUAGGAACAAGAAGGCAGAAUUCUUUGGUAAGACCAGGUAGAAGUAGAUAGGGCAAAGGGUUUGAUGAAAAAGUUGAUGAAGGUUUGGAAAUUGAUGAGAAUUCUACAUCUCAAGCCAAAAUGCAGGGGUUAAAGUGUUGCAGAAUUAUUUGGUCUUCAGUGAGAAAAAUGGUUCUGCUAAGUAGUUAUACAAAUGUACUAUUUAGUCAUUCACCACAAGAAAGUGUCAGGUUUUACUGUUACAGAGCAAAGAGGGACUACAGAGGAACAUACUGCUUUCCUUAGCCUUGCUCUCCUUCUGGAUGCAAUGUUUUGUGUUACAACAUCUUGAAAACUUUUCAGUCAGAGAAAGGAGCAGCCCUGCAGCAAUGAAAGAGCAGGUGAUGGACUAAUAAUAGGAUCUCUUGUUUAUUUCCUCUUCUUUUAUUGAUGAUCAGCCUGUGGUGUGUUGAGCUGGAAGGCAGAAAAAAAAAAAGGCCAGGUCUCACAUUAGCAAGGAGUCCUCCAGCUGUUAAAGGUAAAAGUCAUCCUGGGUGAGGUCAGUCUCUCACAGUGACUCAAACGGACAGUCUUGCUUGUGUCAGCAGAAGCUCAGCUACCAUCACAGCUGCACAAACGUGGGCACUGCUUCUUCAACUAACUGCCUGGAGAUUAGACAGGUUGCUGCACGUAGGGAAGGCAGAAAGAACUCUGGUAGGAUGAACACAGGUUGGAGUGUCGGAGUGAACACUGUGAGCCCUUCCUGUUCAAGGUUACAAGAGAAGGAGGGGCCACAUUCUGAACGUGGCAGGGCUAGGCAUGUAUGGAAAAGCCUGGGAAGCAGCAAGUCUUUUUUCCUAGUUCAAAGGCCUAACCAAGCUGUUCUAGGCACCAUGAGCAUGAGCUGGGAGAGCCCAACAAGUCACUGCCAGUGCUCUGCUGCCUGGCACCAAGGCUGCUUUUUGCUUUCAGAUGCUCUGUUGUUUCUCGUUUGUAUAACACCAGUCCUUGCCAGGUGCUCCUGGGGUCUAUUUUAAGGCAAAUAAAAAUGUUUUGUCUUUCAAAAUAUCUGUGAGAUCUCUGGGGAAAACGUACUGAAAUUUUGGUUUCCAGAAACUCUCACAGAAAGUCUGAAAAUUCAAAACACUGAGAGAAAUUUGGGUUUUGAAUCCUUGAAAGCAUGCAAUCUUACAGUGGUCCUAGCAAUUAAAGCACUGGCAGCUGAUUUCCCAUAGAAACAGAAGUGCCAGAUAUCAUGCCAGAGGUUCAUUUACUGAGCUGAUCCACUGUGGGCAGAAGCUCAAUGUUCCUGCAAUGGUCCUUAGGGCAAAACAAUUCCCUCAAAAAAGAGAAGAUGAUUCAGAAUUAUUUCACUGAAAACACACCUGGUAUUUUCUGGGUCUACUCUAGCAAGGAAACAAAUCUACAAUAAAACAAGCAUAAAACAAUGGAUAAGACACUGCUGAAUGUUUGGUCCCGUGGACAAGACAGGAGAUAAUGCAGAUCGUUGAUACUGAAUAAACAUCAAACUCUAAGCUGCACUCACUUGCCAUGUUCUGUUUUCUUGAUUAAAUCGAGUUGUUUUUGUUGAGAGGAAGAUAUAGCAAGCUGACAGCCAUACCGCCCUACCUUGCACACAACUCUACAGUAUAGAACUUAGUGUGUUUACAGUCAAUGUUCGCUAAAUCUGAGUUGCCAGGUGAAAUCAUUGCAUUUGCCUGUUUCCUUGUCUAAUGAAAAAAAUGCUUGUGAUAGCACUUGAGGUCACAACAGCACUUGGCUAAUGCAGUGAUGAUUUAAAAAACAAACAAACCAAAAAAAAAAACCAACCAUAAUUUUUUUCUGGAUUUGUUACAUGUGGGAUUUAAAGGCAGUUGCUGUACAGUGCCUGGAAACCUGAUUCACCUGAGUCACAAUUCAUCCAAUACAUCACGAUAACAACAUGUCUGAGGGAUGGGAGGCCAUCCAGAGAGAUCUAGACAGGCUUGAGCAGUGGGUCCAGGUGAACCUCAUAAGGUUCGACAAAUCCAAAUGCAUGGUCCGGCACCUGGAUCAUGGCAAUCCCCGCUAUAAAUACAAGCUGAGGUACUAGAAGAUAGAGCACGGCCCUGUUGAGAAAGACUUGGGGGUACUGGUGGAUGGCAAGCUGGACAUGAGCCAGCAAUGUGCCUUCUCAGCCGAGAAAGCCAGCUGUAUCCUGGGCUGCAUCAAAAGAAGCAUAGCCAGCAGGUCAAGGGACAUGAUCCUUUCCACCUCUAAGACCUCACCUGGAGCACUCCAUCCAGAUGUGGAAUUCUCAGUACAGGAGAGUCAUGGACCUGUUGGAGCGCAUCCAGAGGAGGGCCACAAAAAUGAUCCAAGGGGUGGAACACCUCCCCUGUGAGCACAGGCUGAGAGAGCUGAGGCUGUUCAGCCUGGAGAAGAGAAGGCUCUGGGGAGACUUCAUAGUGGCCUUUCAGUAUCUAAAGUGGGAGUGUAAGAAGGAAAGGGACAGACUCCUUAGCAGAAUCUGUUGUGACAGGACAAGGGGAAAUGGUUCCAAACCAAUAGAGGGGAGAUUUAGACUGGAUAUAGGGAAGAAGCUAUUUACUGUAAGGAUGGUAUGGAUGUCCUGUCCCUGGAAACACUCAAGGUCAGGCUGAAGCAAUCUGAUGUAGCUGCAGAUAUCCCUGUUUAUUGCAGGGGAGUUGAACUACGUGAGCAUUAAGGGUCUCUUCCAACUCAGAUUAUUCCUUGAUAAUUUAUCAAGGAAGUCUGAGGGCUUGGACAGGGUGUUGAUGAGACACUGAAGUAUGUGGACACCAUUACUUACUAUAUUAUGUCCUCAAGGAGUGGUGUGGAGGGAAUGGCUGCCCUUACCCCAUGGUACAGGAGCUUUUUAUCUGCAUCUCCCAGGAUCCAAAGAGAAGCCCCACUCCUUGAUCACUGAAGAUCAAAUUGAGCUAUUUACCUUCUCAAGUGUUAACAUGCAUUGGUGGCAUAUGCUUCCAAGGCUUUCUUUUGCUUGGUUUUGUUGUAUACAUGUGGAUAAUGCCAGAUAAGAUUUUGGCGCUAAGAAGGUUUCACUGAGUGCUUCUCUUUUCACCUCAUUUUGGUCUCUCCUUCUUUAAUGACCAGUGAAUUACAGUCAAUUAAAGGUGACUGAUAGGAACUGCAGGGAAUACACUCAUAAAGAAUUAUGAAAAAUAGCCAUGUACCUUGUGACCAGCGUAUACAAAUUACAUCAUAAGCAGGAAGUAGUUAUGGUUGAUUGGAGCAAUUAAAUGUUUUCUUUAAGAAAGGAAAAAAACCCUCCAGUGAGAAUAUUUUAGAAAAUGGCUUUUUAAUCAUCUGUAGAACUGCUAGAAUGUCUGUCUUCUAAUAGUUUUAAAGUGUUCCUUAGUUAGAAUUAGCUGUUAUUCUACAGAAUAGCCAAAUACUUCCCCAGGAACCUGCUUACAUGAAAGUUUAUUUUUAAUCACAAGAUCACAUCCAAAAAAAUUUACAUAGGCCAAAGGAGACCAGAGAAGAUUUGAGCACCUGUCCCCGGUGUAUAAACAGCUACAAAUUUGGGAGCCAUUGCACAGGAGAGAAUACUUUCUACAAUGAUUCAGGAAGACAUGCACACAGCAAGAUUCACCACUCAAAUAAGAAGCAUUAACGCUGACAGAAAAAUCAGGUGUUUCCAGCAGUAUCAGAUGCAUACUAACCAGCAUCCUGCCACAUUAAUCAACCAGCUAAUGCCUUCAGACUUGGCUGGUUCAUCAUCUAUCCUCAUCCCUGUAGACACCACUAGUUCCGCAUGGGCAAGGACACAUUUUGGGAGGGGAAGGACCAUGGCAGCAUGCUGUGGAAGAGCAGUCUCUGCCUAGCAGUGUGGUGAGCUGCAUAUGAGCCACAUGGGCAGAUGACAAGGGACAGCUUGGUGGUGCCCGUGCAAGCCAAUGGGGGAGCUUCUGCGCGUAACAUGCCUCAGCAGUCCACUUUUGCCUGCCCGUGGAUGGGAAUGCUGCUGGUCUGCACAGCCUGGGCAUAGGCAGCGGGGGCAGUGCUGGCAGUGUGUACCAGCACCCAGCACACCAGAUGAGAGCAUGCGAAUUGGAAACUGGCUAUUAUAGACAAUAGCCCUAAAAAUCAUCCUCUUGGUACAGAGAGAACACAUGCCUGAUACUCUACCAAUUGCCUAGCUUAACACUGAGGAUACAGCUCAGGAUGUCAUAUAUGUUCACACCUUCUUUCAAGGAGACUCAUGAUGCUGGAAAAGGGUGAAAAGGCUGUAAACAGUGUUCUUUGGUCAAAGAAACCCAGAACAUGUUUCAUAUAAUAAGGUUAUUUUUACUAUUUUUUAAUCUCAGCAGAAAAUUCAUUAUAUUCCUCCUUUUUCUCUCAGCUUCGACUGUGUGUCCCCUUUGUGCUUGCAAAACAAAGGUUAUUUUUUACUCACCUGUAUAAAAUGCUCGAAGAACUCCAGAUGAUUGAAGAUAUAAAAGUCAAAGGAAAUAUGUAUAUAUGCAUGUUUAUAUAUAAUUGUUGUUACUGUUGCAGUCUGCGAGAAAAACAAAAAUUAUUCCUAGCAGAGCGUCAGGUUUUUAUUUAUUUAUUUUUUUAUGACUUUGGAAGCUUUUUAAUAGCUAGUGAUCAGAUGAAACAACUGCUCUUGAAAUCAAUGAGAACUGGAUUACGUGCUGGAGAAGAGAAAGCUUCAGGAGAAAAUGUUUACAUUACUGUUAUCUUAGAUAAUCACCAUUUCUGCCUAUGUCUUCCAGAAAAACUCAUUUUGUAUCUCUGAAAAAUAUGUAAUGAUUUCAAGAUCAUUUCAGAGGCCAAACACACUAGAAAUUCAAAUCCAUGAUCUAAAUGCUUACAAAAAGUGUCUCAGAUCAGUAAAAACAAGCUGAAGAGAAUGAGAAGAUACUCUUUGAUUAUCUAACCUCCUUGACUGCAGUACGUUUAUUCUGUUUUCUUCUUACCGUUUUCUUCUUCUUGAGGAUUUGAAAUUACUUCUCUUUGAAUGUAGAGGAUAUAAAUUAAUCAAUAAAGUCAAUAGUAGCGCUUAUAAACAUAGCUUAAAUAUAUAUCUGUGUGUCCUACGCUACAAAAGAUAGCAGCAACUGAAGCAAUUUCCUCCAUGGCCUAAAUCCUAACUACCAUCUAGUUCCAGGAAAGCUAGUACAGCAUUUGCUGUUUCACACGGAUGCCAUAAAACAAACAUACCAUUAAAAUGAACACUGACACAUUUAUAGUCGUACAGCUUGGCUCUUCGCUGUGACGUUGCCCUUGAAGUGUUGAUGUCAUACCAAAAUUGCACCUCCUCCUACAGUGUAAAUUAUUCUGUAAUUCCAUGGUUCUGUGAUAGCACUACUGUGCCCACCAGUACUACAAUGGACUCGUUAACAGCUGAGCCUUUCCUUACCACUACAGCCUCAUGAACUGCCUCUCUGCUGCUCUUCACUGCAGGAGGCCAGCUUACAUUGCUAUUGGUAUUAACUGUUAACCAGCCUAUCUGCACUCAGACAGAAAUCAGAGUGAAACAGCAACAUUCAGCAUUUCUCAAAAGGUAAUCUAAGUUCUGGAUUUUCCAUCCAAGUGGCACAAAGUCCUUUGUAACAUGCAGCGACAAGGCUUGCAAUUCAGGCCCUCAGCUGUUGUUCUUCACACCUCUCAGGAUUUGGUGAUGAAAAUGACAUUCUGAUGUAGGGCACAUUAGCCCACUACUUUGAGUGCAAGGCCAUGUGGAUGUAGUCACUA
ensembl:lncRNA